rnacentral:rRNA from 1 species
UACGUAGGGUGCGAGCGUUAAUCGGAAUUACUGGGCGUAAAGCGUGCGCAGGCGGUUAUGUAAGACAGGUGUGAAAUCCCCGGGCUUAACCUGGGAACUGCAUUUGUGACUGCAUGGCUAGAGUGCGGCAGAGGGGGAUGGAAUUCCGCGUGUAGCAGUGAAAUGCGUAGAUAUGCGGAGGAACACCGAUGGCGAAGGCAAUCCCCUGGGCCUGCACUGACGCUCAUGCACGAAAGCGUGGGGAGCAAACAGG